CCCUCUUUCCCUACAGAGGGGCUAAGACCGGCAUGCACCGCGCUUGCGGGGGCGGGGGCGGGGCAGACUCUAGGGACCUGAGCAAAAUUACUGAGGCUGGGAGAGAAACAGGACGAGGCCAAGGGAUCAGGUUAAAAUUCUAGGCAGACAGAAACAAUAGAGAAUGAAGAAGGAAGGAAGGCUAUUACUAGAAGCUGCCGUGAAUGAGUGCUAGGAAACAGGACAUUGGUUCUCAUGGAGCUCCAAAGAUGGGGAGAAUUAAACCUCAGAAUCUAAUAGAGAAAAAAUAUAUCACAGUUUGGCUACUAAAUCUGGGUACUUUGGUUGUUAAACGGAUAGGAAAAUAGACGAGGCAUUGCACGUUCUAGCGAGAAGUGACUGUACAAAAUGGAGUUUGAGAAGCUGGCCCUUACGUUUAGAGCCUAGAACUGUCAGGAGUCUGAAGGUAUAGGGUUAGAAUAAAGUUAGAACAGAAUAGGUCCAAAGGUAAAGAAUCAAAAGGGUAAGUGGAAAGGAAGGGAUGACACCAAGAGAUGUUCAAAGUGUACAGAAUUCACCUGAAAAGGAGUCUCCUUCUCAAUCCAUUCAGAAAACAGAGAUUUGUAAGGCAAAGGAGUAUAUAGAGAAUUAGAAAUUGGACAUUAGCUUCUCAUAAGAAAUACCUCAUAGGGUACUUCUGUGCACAUACAGAAUCUGAGCCCAGGCAACUUAUUGGAAACUUUAUAGGGGUGGACCUUCAUGAGAAAGGGGAUAGUGGGAUAAAAACUGUUCAAUCAAUAAUUAUUAGAAGGUGUGUGUAUGACAGUAAAAGGUGUACCGAAUCAUGGGCAGAGACCAGUGUGUCCACUAAGAUCUAUAUGUCUUGAUGGCAUAGUAUCCAAGUGGGGUGAGAAAUUCCUGCCCAUCUUCCUGCUGUAUACUUAGUGUGUUCAGAAUUUGUUCACAAUGGACGAUGUUAAUUAGGAGCAUCUGCUAGAACAAACAGAAACUCCUCUCCCCGUAUCCUCCUGUGCCCAGAUUGUGGGGCAUAACUGGUUUGCCUCCAGUCAUCAUCUGGGGGCAUAUCUACUCGUCGAGGACCAGGGACUCGAGACCCAGGAACAGGACCCAAAUUCCAAGCUGACUUCAGGGGUACAUGAAGACUGCUUGAUGGUGGAGACACAGGAUAAACAACAGGAGGGUAGGAGGAAGAAUGGAAAAGAUCCCCCCAGGACUGAGCAUGAGGAACCUGAAGGCCAUGGUGCCUUUCUGGUAGUGUGGCAGUGUGUGUUGGCUGAGGCUUGCACACUGGAGUACUCAGGAAUCUUGCCCCAAUAUGCUGGUUGGUCUCUGACCAUGGCCCCCAUGAGGCAUCUGUUCUGGAACGAUGUGGGAGACUCUGGUAGUUCAGAGUCCUUCCUGUGUACUUGACCCCCUGGCAAGUUUCACCCCUGUCACACAUAGCCAGAAACUGCUGGACACUCCUCGAAGUUCCUGGGAAGAGAAAAAGAAACCCAAAGAUUAAGCAUCUUCAGUAAACCAUUCUCCUUCCCAAAGAA